UUGCGCACAACACAAUCAGCAUCAGAACCAGGAGAAUCACAAGAACCAAGAUCCAAGGAUCUUCGGGAUAUCAGUCCUGCCACUUUUCUGGCCUGUAGUCCAGAGCUUUUUGUCGCUACAGUAUCUUUCCUGCAUUCUUCUUCAGACUGUGAUGCUACCAAAAUAUCAUUCACGUACAGCAAUAUCAGACUGCUGUAUGGGGGUGUAAACUUAGCCAGAUUUGCUGACAUAGACUGAGAGAAACUAGUGGGACAUUUGCAAUAAGCUUGUUGUAGCCUUGUGUAUGUGUAGCGCUGAACUUUGUAAGUAAACGCAAAACAAAAUUGUGAAUCUGGGUGUAUUGGAAUGCUGAAAAAGGCAUUACUAAUAUCUAUUACUGAGAAAAUCUGCUUAUCUGGGUGUAAAUUAUUCAACAGAAUGUAGAGAUCAGGUACCACGACUGCUCUUGGUUAUAAACUUUAUUUACAGCCUGAUGGUCUUGUACCAUCCUCCAGCCAGUGGAAGUAGGAGCUUUUUUUACUAGGAAUAUGGCAGUAUCGUAGGGAGAGUCAUCACAUGGUAUUAAAAUCCUAGUUCUUAAUAGGGAGUCUAUGAAGGGUGCUAUUCCUUGUUCUGCAUCAGGUCUGAGUGUAUUAGUGUAAUAUUGUCUCUUACAUGGCCUAUAAGUAGUUUUUGCAGUCCUUUUUGUUUUUCUACAUUUGACAAACAUUGUCGAAUCAUUUCUGAAUCUAAGCGUGUUAUGGGAAAAAUUGUCUCUUCCUUAUUUCUAUGUCUCUUCCUUACUUCUAUGCAGUUAUUAUAUGAUUUAUGAGGAUCGUGGGAUCUUUGCAUUAUACCUCCGUGGUGUGUACACUGAUCUCCCCAGCUGGUUUUUGGUUUGUUGAUGUGCACGAUCAACAUCCAUGCUUUAUUUGUUUUCCCCAUUAUUUUUAUUUUCUUUAUUAUUUCAAUAAAUCGCACAAAAGGACAACUCUCUCUCAUCUGCUUCUUUAUGGAAAAUUUCCACCACAGAAAUUGGCGUCUACGAACAGGAUCCCGCGGCAGGUCGUCUGGACGGUGUGACCAGGGACGAUAGUCCUGAGGACUAGGGUCACUCAGCCUCCAAACCUCUACAGCUGUUCUGAGUGGGUGGACUGCUCACCCGUCUGGAUCGCCUCUGACGAGAUCCACGAACUCAGAUUCAAACUCAAAUCCUAAUUUGGCUCGGCGAGAGAGAUUCCUUUUGAUUCGGGAAAAAACAAAAAGAUUGGAACUUUUAUUUUUAAUUUAGCUGAAACAUUUCAAUUGGUUGAAAAAAAAGGAAAGAAAUCUUCUAUUUGGUUGAAACACUAAAUUUGAUUAGGAAAAUUAAUUAGAUCGAGAAAAAGAAAAAAAAACCCAAUAAUACAUGUUCUUAAUUAGGUGAAAGUCUGCUCUGGGUGGUGAGACGUCGGUUGCUAAGGGUUGGCUCGUGGAACCGAGCUUCCGUCUGUACUGAGGAUACAGACAUGUUUUUUUGAUCUGUGCGUGGUCCACACAUGGGGGACUGAGUAUAAAAGACGGCUUCUGAAAGAUGGAGUGCGUUUGCAGAGUGAAGUAUUUUCAAGAUACGAGGGACCCGGGCCUAGAGGGGCCUAACGUUGAGGAAAUACUUCGGGAAAGGCUCUGUCGCCAGAUCAGAACUGAGCGCGAUGAGGGUAAAUCCGGAUCUGGACUCCUUUCCCACCAUCAGCAGAAGAACCGAAGGAGAAGAAGCGCCGACCAACAACCAGAACAGGGUGGAAGCUCUGACACCACAGCAGCUGGAGGACACAGACCACAGCAUGGACGCCUCACAGACUCCCACAACGUCUGCAGCCAUCACGUUCUGGGCUCAUCAGAUGAACCAGCUACUACAAGCGUGUGUGUCUGACACAGACACCUGCUUAUGACAAUCAGCAAAGGAAAACAAGGACAGAGCAACAGCAGAGUGAGAAGACGUGCUCUGACACAGACACUGGUUGAAACAACAGGAGAGGCUUCAAACGUGAUCGGCCCAAUAGAGCUGCAUCUGAGGAUCCAGGAAAGGUCUGUCAUCAAGGAACAACUGUCCCAUUGAAAGGCUUCACCCACUGGCGCUCACAUCAGACUGAUGCUUGGGGAAGGAGGAAGGUGACGGUUCCUUUUCAUGUGACGUACAAGACGGUACAGCAAACACACACACACACAUUCACACACGCAAUGAAGAAACACGCUUACAGCUGAUACACGCUCAAAUUCAUGUUCAUGCUUAUCUGCUCGCAACGAAGAAUCGCUUUUUGCUCAAAAAAAAAAUCCCACAGAGUGAUUUUACAAUGAUGACAAACAGCUAAACGACAACUGCUGCAUGACUUUGCAGUCUGAUGGGUUUAAACUAUUUCAAUUUGCAACAAAUUCAGUAAUAAAAUCCUUCAUGUUUCUAAAAGGGUUUGUGCACAAUAUAGGUUUGUCUGGCCAGACUAGAAGACUAUAGGAAACAAAACAGACUAUAGAAAAACAAAACCAGACUGUAGAAAAACAAAACAGACUAUAGGAAGACUGAGACUGACUGAAACAGACUAUUAAUGACUAUUAAAGGGAAGACGACUAUUAGAGUGAAGUAAUAAUAAUGACUGUACGUACCAGACUAUUAAAGAAAAACUUAUUCUUUCACUGUCUUAUGCAACAUUUGACAGCGAGACACCUUGAGAUUUAUUGUUGCUUUCAAAUUUAUGCCCAGUUAAAUUUUUAGGAAGAGAUCUCAUGUGUAAAUUAGGUAUUUGAUUGAUUUCCACUCCAGACGGAGUGCAGGUUACAUCUACAGACAUUCUAAAUAAUCCCUCUUUUGUUGGUGUUAACUUCAGCUCAGCUGUGCUCUUAUCAUUGGCUGCUGAGGGGGGGCUGUAACUGAGGCCCUCACACAGGCUGCAUCUCAGCUUGUUUAUGAUUUCACACACACACACACAAACUGACCUCAACUUCCCUCUUUUGGGAUGAACACAGGUCUGCGCUUGCGAUUUCUUUUACUAACGAACAAAAAAGAUUUUUGAUGUUUAUUCUACAGUUCCACACGUCCCUCUGUGAAAACAUGAUGGAGACAGAUGCAGGACGUGGGUCCUUUCGUGAACAGAUGUCAACGGGGUGGAGACUGGUGAACGACUUCUGACCCCGUGUGAUGUAUUCACCUACUUUGCAUACUUUAGAAAACUUUUUUUUUAUUCUGCCUAUGUGCAGCAAACAGUGAACUGGGUACCUCCACAUUCUAAUGACACACAUUACACGCUUUUGUUUUUAUUUUCAUUUUUCAGAGGACGCUCUGACCCAACACUCAGCCUUACAGGAAGCCCUGCUUCCCUGUGGCUCACACACAGAUAUGAUGUAGGUUUGAUCAGAGGAUGUGAACCAGUGGUCAUCACACCUAAAUCUGACCACAGACCAUGUGAACAACAACACCCUCUGAAAGGAAGCCAUAGAUGGCGUUACUGCAGACACCACUAAGCUACUGAAACAUUGGAUGCUACAGGCCACAAAGAGAGCCUGUCUAAAUUACAGUUUGUUCAGACAAAGGUUUUUUCUAGGUCAUUGUAAUUACAGCUGAUGGCAAAUCCAUCUCACCCAACAGAGUUAAAGCAAUUUGAGACCUGCCUAAACCGUGCACGUAUAAACAGCUUAUGUCUUUUCUAGGUCUUUGUUCUUAUUGUAGGACUUUCGUUCCUAACUAUACCUUCUCUGAGGUCCCACUCAGGGUUCUGAUGCAGUUGUCUUCAUCGUCCACUUCUUGUCUCACGUGGACGUCUGAGGCUGAACAACGUUCACCGACCUCAUGCUUGCUCUUCAGUCGGCUCCUACCUUGGGUCUUCCUGAUCUGACCCUACGCGACCUUUCACUCAAACAGUGGAUGAGAAAUCAGGUUGUACGACUUCUGUUCUUUUGUGCUCAUACUGUGUCUUUGAUUCUUUUGGAAUAGAUCACAUCUUUCUACAGCCCGAUGGCUUAAAUGCAACACCACCUUGCUCAACAUGCUGAACGUUACUAUCAAGAGGCCGUCUUGAAGUCUGGCUCUUGCUAAGACACUACUCUGCUCAGGCUGCAGAGUUGAUCGCGUUGACUGAAGCUAGUAAACUAGCAGAAGGAGAGUCUGUUACCAUCUACAGACUCCACAGAUGCUUGUCACACGUUGGUUCUCCUUGGAAGCAUGGGAAGCUUUGAAGUCUGAUUGCAAACCUUACAUCUUACAUCAUGAUAAGGUUCUGCUUUGCUGGACGCUGUCCUGCUACAGUCGACUCACACCAUCAGUGACGACUUUGUUUCUGCCGACAUGCAGCUGCAGACGCUGCUGCGAAGGUCGCUGCCCAACAACCCCUCCCUCUCCUGAUCCUCGUUUCCUCUCCUGAUCCUUGUUCCCUCUCCAACUCUCUCUAUCCUUUCCUUCCUCAUCUCCCUGUGCUUUAAACAUUUUCUACCUCACAGGAACGCAGACUCUGGCUGACGAAUGGUUCCACCUGUAGCCAUGGAGUCUGGUUUGGGCCUGAUGGCAGCCGUGCCGCCCAAACACCUUUUUCCCCACAAUUCAGAUUUCCCAACAGGUGAAAACAGGCGACAGGACCAUUACACCAUCCAACCAGGGGACUGGGCGAUUGUUAAGGACUUCAGGAGGAAGCAUUGGGACUCCAAACGAUGGCGAGGCCCCUUCCAGGUCCUUCUGACGACCCACACGGCUGAAAGAUCGCAGUGAGAGUGACUUGGAUCCACUCCAUCCACUGCAGGAAGGUCCCAGAUCCAACAGACGACCAUCCAUCUACAUCCCACGGAGAAAACCACCACUGACAUAAAGAACUGAGCAGGACGACCCUCGCUGUGCUCACACACGCACUGAGGCGAGGCUGCGUUGACCGUUCAGCUAAAGGUGUGAGCCAAGCGCCGCCUGAAGCUGCACCGAUGAAUCACACUAUCAGACCAUACAUCUACACACACGCUCCUGAGAGAACACACACACGAGCAGCCUUGAGUUGCCGACGCUGGACGACGUGUAGACUCUUCACAUCACGGGAGUGACAGUAACUCAGACGACAUUGGGAGGAAACCUGGCGGUGAUAACGAAUCCCAAGUGUCUCUGUGAUCAGCUGAUCACAACCUGAAGAACUCCAACGAACUGGCAAUACAUCAACACACAGGUUGGAAACAAUCUAACGCUACUGUUCAACAGGAAGAAGCAGAUUGUUACGAGACAUCAAUUGUAAACAUGCUUUGUUAGGCUUCAUUUUAUGUUACUUGGAUUGUUGCCUUUAUCAUAUGAUGUUUCUAUGUAACUUUACACACUACUUUUGAAUGAGAAACUUUCACAUAAUUCACAACACUGAGUUUAAAUAUCCUAAAGUUGAUUUGGUGUUUCAUUUGCUCACAAUCACUUUAUUCACUGCUACAAUUAGUUUUAUCCUUCAUCUACAGAUGAAAGACAACACAAGCGGAAAUAUGCAUCAUCAUUCUGGUUAAAUCCCUGAAUCUCCUAUUCGCUCUAGACGCAAAUGUACAAUUAAAGAUCCGAAAGUAUGAAAUCUAUCUUAAGAUUAUAUGAAACAGAACCCCACCGGAAACCUAUGGCUAUCAUACAUUAAUUGUCUUUAUUACAUUACAAUUGAAUGGCCGUAGACACGUUGUUAGCAGAGAAAAGAGGCGGUUGUGUUGUGUUUGGAGACGCAUAUUGUACUUACAUCCUGAAUAACACUGAUUCUAAUGGUAUUGUGGCGAAGGCGCUACACGGCCUUCAGAAUCUCAGCUAACUCUGGUAUAGAUUCUUCCUCUUGGAAUUGGCUAGACGAAAUGUCUGGAAAAUGGAAAUCUCAUGUCCGCAGCUGUUUCCUUUAUCACUGAGAUGGCUGUGAUUCUUUUUUUUGGUUUUUGCGUUAUCCCACUGGUUAGAGGUCUCAUCAUGCAUGCGACCUCAGCAACACACUCGUAUCAAAUGACACAAUGCACUAUGUUCAAAAACCCCAACUCUAACUCACUUAAUGACUUUGACGAUGGUAUGGGCUCAUUUUCUUCACAUGCCGAUACAGAGGUUAUUCUUGUAUAACUACCCACCAAAACAGCUCCCAACCUUUUGUCCCUAAGUUACUUGCAUUUUAUGUGAAGGUGUAUUUUGAAUCUUGGUGAGUUAAUACCCUUAUUGUUUCAUUUGCAAGGAUCAUUUAUUAUUACAGAAUGUGAUGUUGACAAUUUUUAUUCCUUUAUGGUUUGAUUAAUGUGUAAUCAAAAGGGGGGAGUGUUAUGGGAAAAAUUGUCUCUUCCUUAUUUCUAUGUCUCUUCCUUACUUCUAUGCAGUUAUUAUAUGAUUUAUGAGGAUCGUGGGCUCUUUGCAUUAUACCUCCGUGGUGUGUGCACUGAUCUCCCCAGCUGGUUUUUGGUUUGUUGAUGUGCACGAUCAACAUCCAUGCUUUAUUUGUUUUCCCCAUUAUUUUUAUUUUUUUUAUUAUUUCAAUAAAUUGCACAAAAGGACAA